CACGUAGGCGGAUCGGAAAGUUGGGGGUGAAAUCCCGGGGCUCAACCCCGGAACUGCCUUCAAAACUAUCGGUCUGGAGUUCGAGAGAGGUGAGUGGAAUUCCGAGUGUAGAGGUGAAAUUCGUAGAUAUUCGGAGGAACACCAGUGGCGAAGGCGGCUCACUGGCUCGAUACUGACGCUGAGGCGCGAAAGCGUGGGGAGGCAAAACA
rnacentral:rRNA from 1 species